GUCCAAGCUUUGCUGCAAAAGGUGAGAUCAAGCGUUCAAGUUUCAAACAAAUUCAGCUCUUACUAUUUUAUAUCCUGCAUUGAGCUUGCAAAUUUUGAGGUGGGAAUUUCUACUGAUGAGACUGGGGAAAAAGUUGGGGCCUUUGCUUUGGCAUAUGCCGCACACAAGGCUGCAUCUCCAACAAGGUUCCCCCCUACUGUAGCUCUCACUCCCACUGUCGCCAGUUGGAUUGGCAAGAA
rnacentral:misc_RNA from 1 species